rnacentral:lncRNA from 1 species
GGUGCAACUGGCUGAACAGGACGUGUUUGCUUAGCUGCCAGUUUCUUAAGACUUACUUGUCUCUUUUGAAACAUUUCUUCCAUGCUUUCUUGCUUCUGGAAAACCUUUUGUAUAUGCUCCUUUAGGUCCUCAUUGAGGAUGUGUGCAUACUCUCUGUAAACUUUAUUCAACUCCUUAAUUUUAUUGCCUGCACCAGUGUCUAGGAAUUUCUCAAUCUCCUGUAAUGCUGAUUCUGCACCAUCCUGAGACUGACACUUAUCUACAGGUUGUGAAGCCAGAAGAUAAAUUCCUU